AAAAAUGGGACGACCAGCAUUAUAAAUGCGAAAGGUUGGCUUGAAGAAAAAUUGUAUUGGAUUGAAAAGAUGGUUAGAAAGGAAGCUUUGAUGUUUGUUCUCUUCACAUACCUCUUCAUAAGCAUAGCAUUCUUAGCUAUUUCGACAAAUGCAAAUAAUAUAUUUGUGAAGGUUCCUAGGCCUACAUUAACAAAAAAUCUUGCCGUCCAAUAUGGUGAAUCUCGUGAUAAUAAUAAUAAUAUCGACGGUAAGUUUCUAACAUAUUACCUAGUUUUUUUAUUUAUUAUUCUUACUAAUGUACAUCCAAAUACCACUAAUAGCAAUAUAAGGUGAAACUAAUAAAUCUUUGAUAUUUUACAGUACAUUGUGAGUGCUGCGUUUGGAGAACAGCAUGUCUGAGAUUUUGUUGCAAGUCGAAGACUAAAAUAGCUGAUGAAAUGCCCCCAUUAAAUUAUGCCAUGCAGUAUUUGAAUAGUACACAUUGAACAACUAUUGUAAUGUUAUAAAUAAAAGGAAAAAGAUAUUAUCUGUGAA
rnacentral:lncRNA from 1 species